rnacentral:snoRNA from 1 species
AUAGCAACCAGGAUGUUGUCAGGUCCUGGUAACAUGGAAAUGCUAAUCAGCAAACCACUCAAGCUCCAAUCAUCAUUUUCAUGACUUGGACUCUUAAUCCUCCUAAAGUUCUCCUCUGUUUCAG